AUGCCGUUUCCUGUUACAACCCAGGGAUCACAAACACAUCAACUACAGAAGAAUUAUGGCAUUACCUCACCUGUCAGUUUAGCUGUCCCCAAGGAGUUUGACUGCAUGCUUACCCAGAAACCAAUCGAAACCCUAAAACCUUACAGUGUAUUUGAAGAGGAGGAAGAACUGCAAUGCAGGAUUCUCAUUUUGGGAAGAUUAAAUAACCUGGUAAAGGAAUGGAUACGGCUGAUUUGGCCUAAACCACGACAACGGGAAAUCAGUGAAAGCAAGAAUCUUCCACAGUCUGUAGUAGAAAACGUUGAAGGAGAAAUUUUUACAUUUGGAUCCUACAGAUUAGGGGUUCAUACAAAAGGUGCUGAUAUUGACACACUGUGUUGCACCAAGACACGUUGAAAGAAGUGAUUUUUUCACAUCGUUUUAUGAAAAACUGAAACAACAAGAAGUAAAAGAUCUGAGGGCUGUUGAAGAAGAUUUUAUCCCAGUUAUUAAACUUUUUUUUUUGUUGUAAUAGAGAUUGAUAUUUUUUUUUGCAAGAUUAGCACUGCAAACUAUUCCUGAGGACUUAGACCUAUGAGACGAUAGCCUACUUAAAAAUUUAGACAUUGGGUGCAUGCAAAGUCUUAAUGGUUGCUGGGUAACUGAUGAAAUUCUGCAUCUUGUACCAAACAUUGACAACUUCAGGUUAACACUGAGAUCUAUCAAACUGUGGGUAAAACGCCACAACAUCUAUUCCAAUAUACUAGGCUUCCUUGGCAGUGUUUCCUGGGCUAUACUAGUAGCAAGAACUUGCCAGCUUUAUCCAAAUACAAUAGCAUCAACUCUUGUACAUAAAUUUUUCUUGGUAUUUUCUAAAUGGGAAUGGCCAAAUCCACUGCUAUUGAAACAGACAGAAGAAAGCAAUCUUAAUUUUCCUGUAGGGACCCAAGGGUAAACCCCAGUGAUAGGUACCAUCUUAUGCCUAUAAUUACACCAGCAUACCCACAACAGAACUCUACCUACAAUAUGUCCAUUUCCACACAGAUGGUCAUGGUUGAGGAAUUUAAACAAGGUCUUCCUAUCACAGAUGAAAUUUUGCUGAGUAUGGCAGAAUGGUCCAAACUUUUUGAAGCUCCAAACUUCUUUCAAAAGUACAAGCGUUGCAUUGUACUUCUAGCAAGUGCACCGACAGAAAAAUAGUGACUCGAAUGGGUGGGCUUGGUGGAAUCAAAAAUCCAUAUUCUAGUUGGAAACCUGGAGAAGAACAAAUUCAUUACACUGGCUCAUGUGAAUCCACAGUUGUUGCCAGAACCCAAGGAGAAUCCUGACAAGGAAGAAUACCAUACAAUGUGGGUGAUUGGGUUGGUGUUUAAGAAAACCGAAAAUUCUGAAAGUUUAAGUGUUGAUCUUAUGACAUUCAGUCUCUUACAGGCACAGUUUAUAGGAGGCAAUAAACAGCAAGAUGUUUGAGAUGGACAUGAAGAUUGCUGCAAGGCAUGUGAAAUGUAAGCCGCAAGUCAUGUGAAAUGUAAGCAACUUCACCAACUGCUACCUAAUCCCGUGCUUCAGAAAAAGAAAAAGCAUUCAACAGAAGGGGUCAAGUUGACAGCUCUGAAUGACAGCAGCCUAGAUUUGUCUAUGGACAGUGAUAAUAGCAUGUCUGUGUCUUCUACUAGUGCUAUGAAGACGAGUCCACUGAACAGUUCUUGAAGUUCUCAGGGCAGCAGCAGCCCCGCGCCAGCUGUAACAGCAGCAUCUGUGACCAAAAUACAGGCUUCUGAAGUCACUCUGCCACAAAUAAAUUCCAGUGAAAGCUCGGGGGUACUUCAAAUGAAAUCAUUCCUCAAACUGCCACACAACCAGCCAUUCAUCCACCACCAAAGUCUGUGGGAAACUGGCUAGUUGAGAAGG